rnacentral:rRNA from 1 species
AUUGAACGCUGGCGGCAGGCCUAACACAUGCAAGUCGAACGAGUGGCGGACGGGUGAGUAAUGUCUGGGAAACUGCCCGAUGGAGGGGGAUAACUACUGGAAACGGUAGCUAAUACCGCAUACCAUCGGAUGUGCCCAGAUGGGAUUAGCUAGUAGGUGGGGUAAAGGCUCACCUAGGCGACGAUCCCUAGCUGGUCUGAGAGGAUGACCAGCCACACGGGAACUGAGACACGGCCCAGACUCCUACGGGAGGCAGCAGUGGGGAAUAUUGGACAAUGGGCGCAAGCCUGAUGCAGCCAUGCCGCGUGUAUGAAGAAGGCCUUCGGGUUGUAAAGUACUUUUGGCGGGGAGGCGGUACUCGCAGAAUAAGCACCGGCUAACUCCGUGCCAGCAGCCGCGGUAAUUC